GGGGUUCGGACUUCACUCCCAACCCCUGUGACAUACCACUUGUUGCCUCGGCGGAUCAGCCCGCUCCCGGUAAAACGGGACGGCCCGCCAGAGGACCCCUAAACUCUGUUUCUAUAUGUAACUUCUGAGUAAAACCAUAAAUAAAUCAAAACUUUCAACAACGGAUCUCUUGGUUCUGGCAUCGAUGAAGAACGCAGCAAAAUGCGAUAAGUAAUGUGAAUUGCAGAAUUCAGUGAAUCAUCGAAUCUUUGAACGCACAUUGCGCCCGCCAGUAUUCUGGCGGGCAUGCCUGUUCGAGCGUCAUUUCAACCCUCAAGCACAGCUUGGUGUUGGGACUCGCGUUAAUUCGCGUUCCCCAAAUUGAUUGGCGGUCACGUCGAGCUUCCAUAGCGUAGUAGUAAAACCCUCGUUACUGGUAAUCGUCGCGGCCACGCCGUUAAACCCCAACUUCUGAAUGUUGACCUCGGAUCAGGUAGGAAUACCCGCUGAACUUAAGCAUAUCAAUAAGCGGAGGAA
rnacentral:rRNA from 1 species